rnacentral:lncRNA from 1 species
CGCGCAGCAGCAGCCAUGGCGCCUCCCGUCUCCUCCCUCUCCCUGUCCCCCAUGGCGUCCAGCACAAUCCCGUCGCCGCAGCUCCCCAAGCCCAGCACCGUCAGGGCGCUCUCCGUCGCGCCCUGCAACUCCGCCGCCUCCUCCUCCUCACCGUCCACCUCCUCAUCUCCCCCGUGCCACGCCGCGGCGCCUCAGGUGGCGUCGGCGGGAAGGAGGGGGAUGCUGGCGCUGGGCGCGGGGUUCCUGGCCUCGGCCGCGCUGCUGUGCCCCGCCGGGGACGCCGGGGCCACGCGCAUCGAGUACUACGCGACGGUCGGGGACAAGCUCUGCGACCUCAACCUCGUCAAGUCGGGGCUCGCCUACUGCGACGUCGAGGUCGGCACCGGCGCCCAGCCACCGCGCGGCGAGCUCAUCAACGU